rnacentral:misc_RNA from 1 species
AAAAAAAAAAAAUAAAAAAAAAUGAAAAAUAAAAUUUUUAUGAAAAAUAUAUAUUUUUUAAUUCUUCUAAAUAUGAUCUAUUCUUUGGUAAACAUGUCUUUGUUUCUAGAUUAUUUUGACAAAAAUAUAUUAUAGAACAAUAUAUAUAUUGUUUCAGUUGUAUGAACACUUGAAGGGAUUAUUUGCUGUGAUUGCCUGUUGGAAUAGGCUAUUUGCUAUAACAGGAAUGAUA